rnacentral:rRNA from 1 species
UACGUAGGGUGCGAGCGUUGUCCGGAUUUAUUGGGCGUAAAGAGCUCGUAGGCGGUUUGUCGCGUCGGCCGUGAAAUCUCCACGCUUAACGUGGAGCGUGCGGUCGAUACGGGCAGACUUGAGUUCGGUAGGGGAGACUGGAAUUCCUGGUGUAGCGGUGAAAUGCGCAGAUAUCAGGAGGAACACCGGUGGCGAAGGCGGGAUCCUGGGCCAGUACUGACGCUGAGGAGCGAAAGCGUGGGGAGCAAACAGG